UGGCUCAGAACGAACGCUGGCGGCGCGCCUAACACAUGCAAGUCGCACGAGAAAGCGGGAGCAAUCUCGCAAGUACAGUGGCGUACGGGUGAGUAACACGUGGAUCAUCUGCCCUGGAGUGGGGAAUAACGCUGGGAAACCGGCGCUAAUACCGCAUAUUCCCGAGAGGGGAAAGCAGCAAUGCGCUUCGGGAGGGGCCUGCGUCCCAUUAGCUAGUUGGUAGGGUAUGGCCUAGCCAAGGCGACGAUGGGUAGCUGGAUCGAGAGGUUGACCAGCCACAUUGGCACUGAGAUACGAACCAGACUCCUACGG
rnacentral:rRNA from 1 species